rnacentral:sRNA from 1 species
GUGAGGAACCCCGAUCUCGUCACCCAGUGACCCUUC